rnacentral:ncRNA from 1 species
UAAAGGCUUGGUCCUGGCCUUUUUAUUGGUUUAUAGUAAACUUACACAUGCAAGUAUCCGCAAGCCAGUGAAAAUGCCCUCUAAACUUCACACUAGUUAAAAGGAGCAGGUAUCAAGCACACAAAUAGCGUAGCUCAUGACACCUUGCUUUGCCACACCCCCACGGGUAAACAGCAGUGAUAGAAAUUAAGCAAUAAACGAAAGUUUGACUAAGUUAUACUAUACAAGAGUUGGUAAAUUUCGUGCCAGCCACCGCGGCCAUACGAUUAACCCAAAUCAAUAAACACCGGCGUAAAGCGUGCCAAAGAUUAUUUAAAACAAAUAAAGUUAAGAUCUGACUAAAACGUAAAACCACUAGUUAGCGUAAAAAUAAACAACGAAAGUGACUUUAGAUAUUUUAACUGCACGAUAGCUAAGACCCAAACUGGGAUUAGAUACCCCACUAUGCUUAGCCCUAAACAUAAACAAUUAAUAAACAAAAUUGUUCGCCAGAGUACUACUAGCCACAGCUUAAAACUCAAAGGACUUGGCGGUGCUUUACAUCCAUCUAGAGGAGCCUGUUCUAUAAUCGAUAAACCCCGAUAAACCUCACCAACCUUUGCUAAUUCAGCCUAUAUACCGCCAUCUUCAGCAAACCCUAAAAAGGUACCAAAGUAAGCAUAAACACAAACAUAAAAACGUUAGGUCAAGGUGUAGCCCAUAGGUUGGGAAGAAAUGGGCUACAUUUUCUUGCACAAGAACACUUUGCUAUACGAACAUCCCUAUGAAACCUGGGGAUUGAAGGAGGAUUUAGCAGUAAAUUAAGAAUAGAGAGCUUAAUUGAAUUAGGCAAUGAAGCACGCACACACCGCCCGUCACCCUCCUCAAAUACAACAUCACCAAACUAACAUAUAGAUAUAGUGUAAUGAGCAUGAGAGGAGAUAAGUCGUAACAAGGUAAGCGUACUGGAAAGUGUGCUUGGACUAAC